CGGCGGGGGGGACGCGUCUGAGGCGCGGGUGUCGCGCGGGUCUGUGCUGUCGGGUGAAGUGGCUCUGCCAGGCGCUCUGGACCGCACGGUCAGGCAGUGAGCGUGACCGGGGCACGGGGUGUUCCGUGCGAGGCGCCGCGGGACUGCGAAGAGACAGGCGGCGGUCGGGAAACGUGAGUGGAUUUGGGAUGCCCGGCGCCGCCUCCUGUCCCCAGAGCGCUGGCCCAGGCGACCCUGCUCUGAUGGCGGCGACGUCCGUCCCUGGCCGCUCAGGGCAGGGAGGCCUGGGACUGCGGAGCGCGGAGCACCGGCCUCGGUCGUGGAUGAGAAAAAAAAAAAACGGAUCUACUUGGACACCCGGCUCGUAUUUGCUUCCCGCAGCGGGUGCCCCGGAGGCGAAGUAACUUGCUUAAAAUCGGGCCACUGGUGAGGACCAACGAAGAGGCGGUGCGCAGACGCGAUGUUACAGUGCGCAACUAAUGCAUCCGUCCCUGCGCUCUUGUCGGAAUACUACCGCCUAGCCCUUCCAAGUGCUUCGGUGCAGGGCUUCGUGUAGUGGGGGAUUAGGUUACGCCGCACCGAGCAGCGCGUCUGUCCCUGCCUCUUGGGGGUCACGAGACUUGUCAGCCGCGGACACCCCGGGAGUCACUCGCGAGAAUUAACUAUUUAGGAAGCUUGCUUCAGAAAAGGAACAUUCCUAGAGCGAUGGUUCUUAACCUUUUCGGUGGGGGAGGGGUUUAUGGCUGUUGAGCAUUUGAAAACCUAAAGUUUUUGCAGUACAGCUCCUUCUGGGUGAUAACGUGACUUAUCAGAGCUAUCCGUUUGGUUAGUGCCGGAACCCAGGUCUCACUUCAGCCUGACGUCCCAUUCCACAAGCCCUUUCGACAACCGUUGAACACCUGCCUAUGCUGGGGACUCCACAGAUGUUUGGUGCCGAGCCAAGUGGCCACUCAUGUCUGCCGUCUAUUCCAGAGAGCAUCCAAGCGGGAGAGAGGAGCAGAGAGAGAGAGAGAGAGA